rnacentral:rRNA from 1 species
CGGCGGAAGGCGCAUGCCUUUCCGCCAAAGGAGGCGACUCCGGUGCCGGCUGGGCACGCGUGACAUUAGCUAGUUGGCGGGGCGACGGCCCACCAAGGCGACGAUGUCUAGGGGUUCUGAGAGGAAGGUCCCCCACACUGGUACUGAGACACGGACCAGACUCCUACGGAAGGCAGCAG